rnacentral:rRNA from 1 species
AUUGAACGCUGGCGGCAGGCCUAACACAUGCAAGUCGAACGGUAACAGGAAGCAGCUUGCUGCUUUGCUGACGAGUGGCGGACGGGUGAGUAAUGUCUGGGAAACUGCCUGAUGGAGGGGGAUAACUACUGGAAACGGUAGCUAAUACCGCAUAACGUCGCAAGACCAAAGAGGGGGACCUUAGGGCCUCUUGCCAUCGGAUGUGCCCAGAUGGGAUUAGCUAGUAGGUGGGGUAACGGCUCACCUAGGCGACGAUCCCUAGCUGGUCUGAGAGGAUGAACAGCCACACUGGAAAUGAGACACGGUCCAGACUCCUACGGGAGGCAGCAGUGGGGAAUAUUGCACAAUGGGCGCAAGCCUGAUGCAGCCAUGCCGCGUGUAUGAAGAAGGCCUUCGGGUUGUAAAGUACUUUCAGCGGGGAGGAAGGGAGUAAAGUUAAUACCUUUGCUCAUUGACGUUACCCGCAGAAGAAGCACCGGCUAACUCCGUG